AGUGAACGCUGGCGGCAGGCCUAAUACAUGCAAGUCGAACGGCAGCACAGUAAGAGCUUGCCCUUACGGGUGGCGAGGGGCGGACGGGUGAGGCAUACAUCGGAAUCUACUUUUUCGUGGGGGAUAACGGAGGGAAACUUACGCUAAUACCGCAUACGACCUACGGGUGAAUGCAGUGGUUCUUCGGACUUUGCCCGAUUGAAUGAGCCGAUGUCGGAUUAGCUUGUUGGCGGGGUAAAGGCCCACCAAGGCGACGCUCCGUUGCUGGUCUGAGAGGAUGGUCCGCCCCACUGGAACUGAGACACGGUCCAGGCUCCUACGGGAGGGCAGAGUGGGGAAUAUUGGACCAUGGGCGGAAGCCUGGUCCAACCAUCCCGCGUGGGGUGAGAAAGCCUUCCGGUUGUAAAGCCCUUUUGUUUGGAAAGAAAAGCAGCAGGUUGAAACCCCGCUGUUCUGACGGUACCCUAAGAAUAAGCACCGGCUAACUUCGUG
rnacentral:rRNA from 1 species